AAGCUAAUGUGUGCGUAAUAUUCAUCGCUCUGGGUCCGACAGCAGUGUUUUGCAUUCAGAUCUUGCUAUCCACACAAACAUCAUGCAGCCAAAGAAUAAGUUGGGGUCAUAGUACUGCUCUAGUGUCAUCUCACUGGACCUAAUUUACUACUGGCCAGCUUCCAAAUUUCCACACAGGA